CCCUUGUGCAUUGUAGUUGCAUUGCACUGUUGCAUUGUGGGUAAUGUGACAACAAUACAACCGGG
rnacentral:pre_miRNA from 10 species